CGGGGAAUUAGGGUUCGAUUCCGGAGAGGGAGCCUGAGAAACGGCUACCACAUCAAGGAAGGCAGCAGGCGCGCAAAUUACCCAAUCCCGACACGGGGAGGUAGUGACAAUAAAUAACAAUAUGGGGCUCUUACGAGUCUCGUAAUUGGAAUGAGUACAAUUUAAAUCUCUUAACGAGGAACAAUUGGAGGGCAAGUCUGGUGCCAGCAGCCGCGGUAAUUCCAGCUCCAAUAGCGUAUAUUAAAGUUGUUGCAGUUAAAAAGCUCGUAGUUGAAUUUCGGAAUCUGUCCGUCGGUCGGGCUUCACUGUCCGUACUGGUGUGAUGGGUUUCUACCUUCUGAAUAACCGGCAUGUCAUUAAUUUGGUGCGCCGGGGAAGCAGAACUAUUACCUUGAAAAAAUUAGAGUGCUUAAAGCAGGCUAUCGCCUGAAUAGAUUAGCAUGGAAUAAUAAAAUAGGACGGCAUGGUUCUAUUUUGUUGGUUUCUAGGAUCACCGUAAUGAUUAAUAGGGAUAGUUGGGGGCAUUAGUAUUCAAUUGUCAGAGGUGAAAUUCUUGGAUUUAUUGAAGACUAACUUCUGCGAAAGCAUUUGCCAAGGAUGUUUUCAUUAAUCAAGAACGAAAGUUAGGGGAUCGAAGACGAUCAGAUACCGUCGUAGUCUUAACCAUAAACUAUGCCGACUAGGGAUCGGACGAUGUAAUU
rnacentral:rRNA from 1 species